GGGUGAGUAACGCGUGGGUAACCUGCCGUAUACAGGGGGAUAACACUUAGAAAUAGGUGCUAAAACCGCAUAAGCGCACAGGAUCGCAUGGUCUGGUGUGAAAAACUCCGGUGGUAUACGAUGGACCCGCGUCUGAUUAGCUUGUUGGCGGGGUAGAGGCCCACCAAGGCGACGAUCAGUAGCCGGCCUGAGAGGGUGAACGGCCACAUUGGGACUGAGACACGGCCCAAACUCCUACGGGAGGCAGCAGUGGGGAAUAUUGCACAAUGGGGGAAACCCUGAUGCAGCGACGCCGCGUGAGUGAAGAAGUAUUUCGGUAUGUAAAGCUCUAUCAGCAGGAAAGAAAAUGACGGUACCUGACUAAGAAGCCCCGGCUAACUACGUGCCAGCAGCCGCGGUAAUACGUAGGGGGCAAGCGUUAUCCGGAUUUACUGGGUGUAAAGGGAGCGUAGACGGUGAAGCAAGUCUGAAGUGAAAGGCGGGGGCUCAACCCCCGGACUGCUUUGGAAACUGUUUGACUGGAGUGCAGGAGAGGUAAGUGGAAUUCCUAGUGUAGCGGUGAAAUGCGUAGAUAUUAGGAGGAACACCAGUGGCGAAGGCGGCUUACUGGACUGUAACUGACGUUGAGGCUCGAAAGCGUGGGGAGCAAACAGGAUUAGAUACCCUGGUAGUCCACGCGGUAA
rnacentral:rRNA from 1 species